CAGGCCCCGCCCAGGAAGGCUGAUCUGAUUAUUCAUGAGCCCGCGGGCGGCGGUUUGGGCUGCAAGAGGCCGCGGAGUCGGUUGAAAUGGAGGUUUCACCACUGAGGGAAGAGUUUUUCCAUCUCAAAUCACUAAUGAGCAUGAAAAUAAUGUGGGUCUGAAGCUCCUGUUGGUGGCGAAUGAAUGAAGCAGAGAGUCACGCUCCAGGCUUCCCCCGGCCCCCGGCCCCCGGCUCUGGGGCAGCCCAGAGGCAGCGGUGGAGGGGGCUGAAGAGGCGACGGGCACCCGCCCGAGCUGAGCGCCGCCUUCGCCACGCGCAGCCUCACAUUCCCGGUGCCCGCUGCUGCCUCCUGACACCUGCAUCACCACCUGCCUCCACCGGGUCCUGCUCCCGCUGGGCAGAGCAAUGCCAGCCUUGGAGGCCUGAAGCCACCGCCCCCUCUGCCUCCACCCGCCUGCGUGCAGAGCGGAGGGCGCUCUUCUCCAAUCAGCAGCACAGGCGCCAGGUCCUCUACUCACUCAUUUUGUUUCUUGUGCCCUGAAAAAGAUCUCAGUAUAAAACUUUUUCAAGAAGAAAAAAUGUCCUGAGUUACUGCUUAUUAUCAAGUGUGCAUUGCUCUUCAUGUCUGCUUUGAUACUGUGAGAAACAUGCUUACCUGUUCAAACCCAAGGAAUGGACUAAGAGACACAAGAAAGAGCAAAAAGCAAGGAUUUACUUUAAUGACGAUCUUGCAAGAUCCAGUGCCUGGUACCCAGUUAGGGUACAAUCAACGUUUUAUCCCGUAAAGUGCAAAGUCCUUCCCAAAUUCCUAAUUGGCUGAGUACUAUGGGGUGCAUAAUCUUCCCCUAUGUCACCUAGGUUUUAUUGUUUUCUAUUGGGUUAUUUAAGGAAAUAUA